GAUGAACGCUAGCUACAGGCUUAACACAUGCAAGUCGAGGGGCAGCAUGGUCUUAGCUUGCUAAGGCCGAUGGCGACCGGCGCACGGGGGAGUAACACGUAUCCAACCUGCCGUCUACUCUUGGACAGCCUUCUGAAAGGAAGAUUAAUACAAGAUGGCAUCAUGAGUCCGCAUGUUCACAUGAUUAAAGGUAUUCCGGUAGACGAUGGGGAUGCGUUCCAUUAGAUAGUAGGCGGGGUAACGGCCCACCUAGUCUUCGAUGGAUAGGGGUUCUGAGAGGAAGGUCCCCCACAUUGGAACUGAGACACGGUCCAAACUCCUACGGGAGGCAGCAGUGAGGAAUAUUGGUCAAUGGGCGAGAGCCUGAACCAGCCAAGUAGCGUGAAGGAUGACUGCCCUAUGGGUUGUAAACUUCUUUUAUAAAGGAAUAAAGUCGGGUAUGCAUACCCGUUUGCAUGUACUUUAUGAAUAAGGAUCGGCUAACUCCGUGCCAGCAGCCGCGGUAAUACGGAGGAUCCGAGCGUUAUCCGGAUUUAUUGGGUUUAAAGGGAGCGUAGAUGGAUGUUUAAGUCAGUUGUGAAAGUUUGCGGCUCAACCGUAAAAUUGCAGUUGAUACUGGAUAUCUUGAGUGCAGUUGAGGCAGGCGGAAUUCGUGGUGUAGCGGUGAAAUGCUUAGAUAUCACGAAGAACUCCGAUUGCGAAGGCAGCCUGCUAAGCUGCAACUGACAUUGAGGCUCGAAAGUGUGGGUAUCAAACAGGAUUAGAUACCCUGGUAGUCCACACGGUAAACGAUGAAUACUCGCUGUUUGCGAUAUACAGCAAGCGGCCAAGCGAAAGCGUUAAGUAUUCCACCUGGGGAGUACGCCGGCAACGGUGAAACUCAAAGGAAUUGACGGGGGCCCGCACAAGCGGAGGAACAUGUGGUUUAAUUCGAUGAUACGCGAGGAACCUUACCCGGGCUUAAAUUGCAGAUGAAUUACGGUGAAAGCCGUAAGCCGCAAGGCAUCUGUGAAGGUGCUGCAUGGUUGUCGUCAGCUCGUGCCGUGAGGUGUCGGCUUAAGUGCCAUAACGAGCGCAACCCUUGUUGUCAGUUACUAACAGGUUCCGCUGAGGACUCUGACAAGACUGCCAUCGUAAGAUGUGAGGAAGGUGGGGAUGACGUCAAAUCAGCACGGCCCUUACGUCCGGGGCUACACACGUGUUACAAUGGGGGGUACAGAGGGCCGCUACCACGCGAGUGGAUGCCAAUCCCAAAAACCUCUCUCAGUUCGGACUGGAGUCUGCAACCCGACUCCACGAAGCUGGAUUCGCUAGUAAUCGCGCAUCAGCCACGGCGCGGUGAAUACGUUCCCGGGCCU
rnacentral:rRNA from 1 species